rnacentral:misc_RNA from 1 species
UACGUAGGGCGCGAGCGUUGUCCGGAUUUACUGGGCGUAAAGGGCUCGUAGGCGGUUUGUCGCGUCGGUCGUGGAAAUGCGCAGCUCAACUGGGCACGUGCGGCCGAUACGGGCAGACUCGAGGGCGGUAGGGGCAAGCGGAAUUCCUGGUGUAGCGGUGAAAUGCGCAGAUAUCAGGAGGAACACCGAUGGCGAAGGCAGCUUGCUGGGCCGUUCCUGACGCUGAGGAGCGAAAGCAUGGGUAGCGAACAGG